rnacentral:rRNA from 1 species
CACCAGGCGCGAAACCUUUGCAAUACACGAAAGUGUGACAGGGCUAUCCCGAGUGCCAUCCGCUGAGGAAGGCUUUUACCCAGUCUAGAACGCUGGGGGAAUAAGGAGAGGGCAAGUCUGGUGUCAGCCGCCGCGGUAAUACCAGCUCUCCGAGUGGUGUGGAUGUUUAUUGGGCCUAAAGCAUCCGUAGCUGGCUAGGUAAGUCCCUUGUUAAAUCCACCGAAUUAAUCGUUGGAUCGCGGGGGAUACUGCUUGGCUAGGGGACGAGAGAGGCAGACGGUAUUUUCGGGGUAGGGGUGAAAUCCUAUAAUCCCGGGAAGACCACCAGUGGCGAAGGCUGUCUGCUAGAACGCGCCCGACGGUGAGGGAUGAAAGCUGGGGGAGCGAACCGGAUUAGAUACCCGGGUAGUCCCAGCUGUAAACGAUGCAGACUAGGUGUUUGGACGGCCACGUGCCGUUCUAGUGCCGCAGGGAAGCUGUUAAGUCUGCCGCCUGGGGAGUACGAUCGCAAGAUUGAAACUUAAAGGAAUUGGC